AGUGUCCUACGGGAGGCAGCAGUGGGGAAUAUUGCGCAAUGGACGAAAGUCUGACGCAGCGACGCCGCGUGAGGGAUGAAGGUUUUCGGAUCGUAAACCUCUGUCAGGAGGGAAGAAAGCGCAUGGCGCCAAUCAGCCAUGCGUUGACGGUACCUCCAAAGGAAGCGCCGGCUAACUCCGUGCCAGCAGCCGCGGUAAUACGGAGGGCGCGAGCGUUAAUCGGAAUUACUGGGCGUAAAGCGCGCGUAGGCUGUUGUGUAAGUUGGGGGUGAAACCCCACGGCUCAACCGUGGAACCGCCGUUGG
rnacentral:rRNA from 1 species